rnacentral:rRNA from 1 species
UCGAGAAUCUUCCGCAAUGGGCGAAAGCCUGACGGAGCGACGCCGCGUGGAGGACGAAGGUGUUUUGCAUUGUAAACUCCUGUCACGAAUUAUGAAGGCGCGUAAGUUAAUACCUUGCGUGUUGACGUAAGUUCGAGAGGAAGCACCGGCUAACUCUGUGCCAGCAGCCGCGGUAAUACAGAGGGUGCAAACGUUGUUCGGAAUUACUGGGCAUAAAGCGCACGUAGGCGGCCAAGCCAGUCUGAAGUGAAAGCCCCCGGCUUACCCGGGGAGGGUCUUUGGAUACUGUUUGGCUCGAGGACAGUAGGGGAGAGCGGAACUCCUGGUGGAGCGGUGAAAUGCGUAGAUAUCAGGAGGAACACCCGAGGCGAAGGCGGCUCUCUGGUCUGUUUCUGACGCUGAGGUGCGAAAGCUAGGGUAGCGAACGGGAUUAGAUACCCCCGUAGUCC